rnacentral:rRNA from 1 species
CAAUAGCGUAUAUUAAAGCUGUUGCGGUUAAAAAGCUCGUAGUUGGAUUUCUGUCAAGGACAGCUGGUCCGCCCUCCGGGUGAGCACAUAGUUUGGUCUUGACAUCUUGCUGGAAGCUGUUGCUGCACUUGGCUGUGUGGCGCAGUGUUCAGCACUUUCACUUUGAGGAAAUUGGAGUGUUUCAAGCAGGCACAUGCCUUUGGACACAGUAGCAUGGAAUAAUUAGAUUGGGCUUUUGCUCCAAUUUGUCGGUUUCUGGAGCUGAGGUGAGUAUUAAUGGGGAUUGUUGGGGGCAUCCGAAUUUAGCCGUCAGAGGUGAAAUUCUUGGAUCUGCUAAAGACGGACAACUGCGAAAGCGUUUGCCCAGGAUGUUUUCAUUG